rnacentral:pre_miRNA from 1 species
UGCACAAGAUAUUAUAGUCAAUAAGCAAACCAGUUAUAGGGCUUCUCUUUGUUGGCAGGAAAUGACAUGACCACUUCAUGAAAUAUCUUGCCAAAGGAGAGUUGCCCUGUUGCUGCUUUAGCUUAAUAUGUAAUCUUCUAUGCUAUUCAGUGCAUAUGAUCAUUCACUCCAUUGAAGAGAAGCACUGAAGUAGUAUGCAAGGGAUCAAACAAAUGACUUCAUC